UACGUAGGGGGCAAGCGUUGUCCGGAAUCAUUGGGCGUAAAGCGCGUGUAGGCGGUUCGGUAAGUCGGCUGUGAAAGUCCAGGGCUCAACCCUGGGAUGCCGGUCGAUACUGCCGGACUAGAGUUCGGAAGAGGCGAGUGGCAUUCCCGGUGUAGCGGUGAAAUGCGCAGAUAUCGGGAGGAACACCAAUGGCGAAGGCAGCUCGCUGGGACGUUACUGACGCUGAGACGCGAAAGCGUGGGGAGCAAACAGG
rnacentral:rRNA from 1 species